GUUCUUGAGAGAUUUUUCCUGCCACCUGAUGCACAAGUCAUUUACAAGGACAAAACAGGGACAGAAGUCGAUGAAGAAAUACUCAGCGACCUGGUUGGACAAGGCAACGUGAGUUUUCUGAUUGGUCCUUGUCUUCGGCUUCUGAGUCGGACUCAAGCUUCAGCUCAAAUGCAUCGACUGUAAACAUGGAUGAGGUCCCAAGGAAGAGACAACGAUUUGAAGAUGCAAAUGCAGCGUCUGCUAAACAGUUGAUAGACGCUGUGCUUAGAGGCAAGUCCGGUGGUGAAGAGCUGCUACAGGAAGAACAGAAACAUUAACAGAUGCUGCAAGACGGCAAAUGGUGAACAUACUGGUGGCUCACAUGAUUGAUAACCAUGGCGAUCAGAGAAGAGUUUGCUCUUGGUAUCGUGAUGCUGUUCGCUUCCCUCAAGGAUCCACAUUCCAAGAAAGGCUGUUCCAAAGGCAGAUUGGUCGAGGGUCUGCAACGCCACCAAGUAGCUCCAUUGACUUUUCUCCAGGAGGCCCAACUUUCCAAAGGACUGUUAAUGUUGAAGGACAGUGUGGAGUAUAAAGCUGGACUUGUUGUGUGCUGUACAAUGGAAGAAGACAUCACUUAUUUCUUUUGUGAAAUAAGUGAUGUACUUUUGGUUGAUAAUCACAUUUUUUUCUGACAAGUUUUUCACAGAGAAUUUUGACGGCCAUCAUCGUGCAUUCAGAGUAUUGCAAAGUGAGGAAAGGUGUCAUAAAAAUGUCAGAGCUUAAAUGUUAUAAACCGUUUGAUAUUCAAAGCUCAUACAAUGUUUCAGAUGAAACUUUGUACAUUAUACCUUCAUUUGUGAUGUUUUGAAUGACUGCAAGGAGGAAAAAUAAAUGCUAGUUAAAUGAUUAUAUUGA